rnacentral:misc_RNA from 1 species
CAUUACCAGGGAGACGACAGACGAGACGUCGUCGUCGCCAUUUGUGCAUUGCGUGCCGACCUGAGAGAGAUCGAUCGACGACGAGCCGAGCCGGCCGGGCCGGGGAGAACGGAACGAUGCUCGCGCGUCCGUCCCCGCCCGCCCUCCGUCCGUCAUCGCAGGUUGUGCAGCGGGUUGGACCCCGUGGGCGCCAGCCGCUUGUCGUCCUCGAACCAGUCGCCGGCGGCGGCCUGCCGGAGCCGCCUCCUCGCGCCGUCGUCGGAUGAGCUGGCGGCGCUCCCGCUCCCGGCCCGCCGCCGGUGCCUCGCGUGGCGAUACGGCCGGUCGCGGUCGCGCGCCGGCCAGACCGAGACGGCGGCGGCCGCGGCUCUCUCGUGCGGGUCGGUCGUCCAGGACUGGCGAGACGACGACGACGGCGACGCCAGUGCCGGCACGCCGAGCAGCAGCGAGGCCGCCCUCAGCG